rnacentral:rRNA from 1 species
ACUUAGCGAUAGCUGGUUACUCAAGAAAAGAAUCUAAGUUCAGCCUAAGAUUAACCAAAUAACACAAAAUAUAAGCUUAAUCUCAGAGUAAUUCAAAUAAGGUACAGCCUAUUUGAAAAAGGAUACAACCUCAACCACCGGGUAAACCCAAACCACCCUCAAUAAAGUGGGCCUAAAAGCAGCCAUCUUUCAAAAAGCGUCAAAGCUUAAUCGAGCUACCAACUAAUUCCUACACCAUCUAAAAACCCUUACACAAUACUGAGUAAUUCUAUGUCCUCAUAGAAGAUUUCAUGUUAAAACUAGUAACAAGAAGAAAAACUUCUCCUAAAUGCAAGUGUAAAUCAGACAGGACACACCACUGACAAUUAACACUCGUGAGCAAAAAGUAGUAACUUAACAAGAGAACCCUACUGCACCAGAUGUUGACCUAACACCAGAGCAUUACAAGAAAGAUUUAAAGAAAAAGAAGGAACUCGGCAAACAUUAACCUCGCCUGUUUACCAAAAACAUCGCCUCUUGAAAAACAUAAGAGGUCCAGCCUGCCCAGUGACCCUGUUCAACGGCCGCGGUAUCCUAACCGUGCGAAGGUAGCGUAAUCACUUGUUCUUUAAAUAAGGACUAGUAUGAACGGCACCACGAAGGUUAUACUGUCUCCUCUUUCUAAUCAGUGAAACUAAUCUCCCCGUGAAGAAGCGAGGAUAAGUAUAUAAGACGAGAAGACCCUAUGGAGCUUUAAACCACGCAACACCUGCUCUAACCUAAUCACUUCCAGAAAACCCCCAUUUACCCAUGCAGGAUGAUUGCCAGUUUUAGGUUGGGGUGACCGCGGAGCACAAGAUAACCUCCACGUUGAAAGGAGCCCCACUCCUUAGCCAAGAGCCACACCUCCCCGCAUCAACAAAAUGACAUUAAUUGACCCAAUAUAUUGACCAACGAACCAAGUUACCCUAGGGAUAACAGCGCAAUCCACUUUAAGAGCCCCUAUCGACAAGUGGGUUUACGACCUCGAUGUUGGAUCAGGGUAUCCCGGUGGUGCAGCCGCUACCAAAGUGUUCGUUUGUUCAACGAUUAAAACCCUACGUGAUCUGAGUUCAGACCGGAGCAAUCCAGGUCAGUUUCUAUCUAUAAAGAGCUUUCUCUAGUACGAAAGGACCGAAAAAGCAUGGCCUCUAUAACAUAUAAGCCCUAACUAACAACUUAUGCCCCAAACUCAAUAAAAACUUAGCCU